ensembl:lncRNA
GGACACUCAGAAUUGGGCUGAAGCCCACCUCAGCUAGCUGUUAUGGAGAAUGUUUGUGUGAGCAAAUGUCAUAACCGCCAAGAGUCUGGACUCCAAGAUAAUGACAGGCAUUUCUAUUCCCUGAGACACAGCAAUAUUGAAAUUAGGACAAUGAAUAAUGCUAUGAUAGUCUCCAACUGUUCAAGUGAAAGAAAGAGUUCAGCAUCUCUCGCUUUAAAUCAAAAGCCAGAAAUGAUUAGGCUUAGUGAGAGGAAAAGAUUCUGAUGCUGGGAAAGAUUGAAGGCAGAAGGAGAAGGGGACGACAGAGGAUGAGAUGGUUGGAUGGCAUUGCUGACUUAAUGGACACGAGUUUGAGCAAACUCUAGGAGACAGUAAAGGACGGGGAAGCCUGGCAUGCUAUGGUCCACGGGAUCAGAGAGUUGAACGCGACUUAGCGAUGGAACAACAACGGUGAGAGGAAGGGAUGUUGAUCCCUGAGACAGGCCAAAAGCUAGGCCUCUUGCAGCAGUUAGCCCAGCUGUGAAUGCAAAGAAAACGUUCUUGAAGGAAAUUAAAAGUGCUACUCCAGUGAAAACACAAAUGAGAAGAAGGUGAAGCGGCCUUUUUACUGAUCUGGAAAGUUUUAAUAGUCUAAAGGUCCAACCAGCCGCAACAUCCCCUU